CCUACGGGUGGCUGCAGUGGGGAAUAUUGCACAAUGGGGGAAACCCUGAUGCAGCGACGCCGCGUGAGUGAAGAAGUAUUUCGGUAUGUAAAGCUCUAUCAGCAGGGAAGAAAAUGACGGUACCUGACUAAGAAGCCCCGGCUAACUACGUGCCAGCAGCCGCGGUAAUACGUAGGGGGCAAGCGUUAUCCGGAUUUACUGGGUGGAAAGGGAGCGUAGACGGGGAUGCAAGUCAGAAGUGAAAGCCCGGGGCUCAACUCCGGGACUGCUUUUGAAACUGUGUGACUUGAGUGCAGGAGAGGUAAGCGGAAUUCCUGGUGUAGCGGUGAAAUGCGUAGAUAUCAGGAGGAACACCAGUGGCGAAGGCGGCUUACUGGACUGUAACUGACGUUGAGGCUCGAAAGCGUGGGGAGCAAACAGGAUUAGAUACCCUAGUAGUC
rnacentral:rRNA from 1 species